rnacentral:rRNA from 1 species
UACGUAGGCAGCGAGCGUUGUUCGGAGUUACUGGGCGUAAAGGGUGUGUAGGCGGUUGUUUAAGUUUGGUGUGAAAUCUCCCGGCUCAACUGGGAGGGUGCGCCGAAUACUGAGCGACUAGAGUGCGGGAGAGGAAAGUGGAAUUCCUGGUGUAGCGGUGAAAUGCGUAGAUAUCAGGAGGAAUACCGGUGGCGAAGGCGGCAUCCUGGACCGGCAUUGACGCUGAGGAGCGAAAGCUAGGGGAGCAAACGGG